CAAUGGCCAGCCAAGAGUGAGGGUGACUGUAAGUGACAUAACCCGGCCUGGUGGAUUGUUCAAGUACUUCGAAUACCAUCCGAGUUGUGAUUUCGGCUUAGGCACAAAGACCUCAUCACGCUCGAGCGAGCCAGUGUUGGAGUGGUGGCGACGAUGACUAUAUUUCCAAGAGAAGUAAGGCACCAUCAGAGCAGAGUGGAGGAUAAGCCCGACAGUGUCAUCGACCCACUGGUAGUCACUAAAGGCAUGGUGGCCACAUUCGUGCGCAAUGACCCAAAUACCAGUGCAAACGCAUCCCUGACAAAUCCAGUAAAUAGGCCAUGCAAGGUAGCAAUACGGGGACGGGAGGAGGUGGAAGUAAGUGAUGGCAAUGUAGUAGAAGACGGACACC
rnacentral:lncRNA from 1 species